GGGGAGUCGCUACGCGACGUCGCCUGCGCUUUGGUCCUGGGCUUCUGUCGGCUCUUGUGAAGGGUCUUUCCGGCCGGUCGCCACCUUAGGUCCCUCUGCCAGCAGCUUCCGCCCUCUGUAACCUGGUGACCUGAGGCUCCGGGAGCCGUGGGAGGACUCCGGGCAGGACGCCCCGGAAGCCGGAAAUGGACUCAGUGACGUUUGAGGAUGUGGUUGUGAACUUCAGUGUGGAUGAAUGGGCUAUGUUGGAUCAUGCCCAGCGGGAACUCUACCGAGAUGUUGUCGGGGAAAUCUUUAUGAGCUUGGCCUUUAUAGGGGAAAAAUGGGACCAGAACAUUGAAGAUUGGUACAGAAAUCAGGGGAGAAAUUUAAGGUAAUUUAUAAUGAAAGGAGAAAGCAGUCUUACCAAAGCAUCUUAAUAUGUCCUAGAGUUUUUUUUGUUGUUGUUGUUUGUUUUGUUUUUGUUUUUUGGUACCAGGGAUUCAACUCAGGAGCACUCUUCCACUGAGCCACAUCCCCAGACCUAUUUUAUAUUUUAUUUAGAGACAGGGUUUCACUGAGUUGCUUAGUGCCUUGCCAUUGCUGAGGCUGGUUUUGAAAUUGUGAUCCUCCUGUCUCAGCCUCCCAAGCCGCUGGGAUUACAGACAUGCACCACCGAGCCCAGCUGUCAUAGAGUUUUUUAUGUAAGUAAAUAAAUAAGCCUCUCUCCAAAUUUUAUGUAUUCAGAAAAAUUUCACCUAUAUAUGUAUUCAAGUGUGAUGUUCGAUGUUUGAAAAAUAGGAACCAUUUAUUAGAGUCUGCAAAUAUCACUGAGUAUCGCUGUUUUAUUUAAUAGAUGAGAUUAAGCCCUCUUGCAGAGCAUUCAAUCUGUUCACUUUCAAAUAAUUUAGACAGGGCAGAAAACCCUCACUUUCUCUGAUAACAAUAAAAAUGUCAGUUUAUAUAAUCCCAGUGGCUCAGGGGGCUGAGGCAGGAGGAUCACAGGUUCAAAGCCAGCCUCAGCAACUUAGAAAGGCCCUAAGAAACUUUGUGAGACCCUGUCUCAUUAUAAAAAAAAGUCUGGGCAUAGCGGCAGGAAAGAUAGUGGAAUGAGAUGGACAUCAUUACCCUAGGUAUAUGUAUGACUGUGCGUAUGCUGCAAUGCUACAUGUACAACCAGAGAAAUGAAAAGUGCUGUAAUUGUGUACAAUGAAUCAAAAUGCAUUCUGUUGUCACAUACCUAAUUAAAAUAAAUAAAUAAUUUUUUAAAAAAGGGUCUGGGGAUGUGGCUCAGUGCUUAAGUGCCUCUGGGUUUAAUUCCUGGCACCAAAAAAAGAAAAAAAAAAAGUUGGGCAUGUGUGGUGAGGCACUGGAUUCUUUUUUUUUUUUUUAAUGUGGUGCUGAGGAUCAAACCCAGUGCCUCAUACCUGGGAGGCAAGUGCUCUGCCAUUGAGCCAUAAUCUCAGCCCUGAGGCACUGGAUUCUAUUCUCUGCACCACAUAUAAUAAAUUUUUUAAAAAAUAUAUACAUAUCAAAAAUGUAUAAAGGUAAAUUGUUAUUAGUUAAUAUGUUUUUUUUUUUUUU